rnacentral:rRNA from 1 species
UACGGAAGGCAGCGGUGGGGAAUAUUGCACAAUGGGCGAAAGCCUGAUGCAGCUAUGCCGCGUGUAUGAAGAAGGCCUUAGGGUUGUAAAGUACUUUCAUUGGGGAGGAAAAAACAAAACUAAUAAUUUUAUUUCUUGACGUUACCCGAAAAAGAAGCACCGGCUAACUCCGUGCCAGCAGCCGCGGUAAUACGGAGGGUGCUAGCGUUAAUCAGAAUUACUGGGCGUAAAGAGCACGUAGGUGGUUUUUUUAAAGUCAGAUGUGAAAUCCCUGGGCUUAACCUAGGAACUGCAUUUUGAAACUGAAAUACUAGAGUAUCGUAGAGGGAGGUAGAAUUCUAGGUGUAGCGGUGAAAUGCGUAGAUAUCUGGAGGAAUACCUGUGGCGAAAGCGGCCUCCUAAACGAAUACUGACACUGAGGUGCGAAAGCGUGGGGAGCGAAACAGGGAUUAGAUACC